GGUUGAGAAACCUUUGGAAUAGAAACGUCUUUGAGUUUUGAAGCUAUAGUCUUGAUUUUAAAGAACAUGCACAAAAAAAAAAAAAAAAAAAAAUCUGGGUUGUAAUUAAGUUUUUUGGAAGGUUUUGCCUAUUACAACAAACAUUAAAUAUUCGAGUUAAACAAACCAGGCUUCAGGUUCUUGCUCACCAAAGAAAACAUCUGGGCUGAGUCUGGAAUGGCAUAGGAGCUAUUAUUUGUUGCAGCAAUUAAUAGCGUUUUAUGUUUGUGUUUCUGCUGGCUGAAGUACUCUUCCUUUGUCACUGCAAGCUUCUAUUUUUAUUUCAGGUAGAGAUGGGUAUAUACCUCAGCUC
rnacentral:misc_RNA from 1 species